GCUUACGGCCAUACCACCCUGAACGCGCGCCCGAUCUCGUCCGAUCUCGGAAGCUAAGCAGGGUCGGGCCUGGUUAGUACUUGGAUGGGAGACCGCCUGGGAAUACCAGGUGCUGUAAGCC
ensembl:rRNA 5S_rRNA 5S ribosomal RNA